AUCAUUCUAUCUGUGAAUGUGGUCUUGAGGAGGGUACUCUGGAACACUUAUUCUUUUCCUGCCCCCGCCUUAUCAUUCCCCUUUAUGACCUCCUCCCUAAUGACAUCCCCCGUCCUAUUAACAUACCUUUUUUACUAACCUUAGUUCAUUCUCCCACUAUUAAAACCUUAUAUAAAUUUAUUAGUAUAAAUCAGAUCCAUAUAUAACAUAAUUCUCCGCCUUUACACAUAAUUACUGUUCUGAUGUUACCUAUUUUUUCGCUCUUAUAAUACUUCAAAUAUCUCUACAAUCACUGUGGUCACUAGAUAAUUAUUGUUUUAAAAAAAAAAAUUAAAAAACCGAUCAGUGUCAUUUCCUACCUUGACGUUGGCAAAAUCUUCGAUACCAACGAAGGAGCCAUAAACAAAAAGAAGAAGAAGAA